GACGAACGCUGGCGGCGUGCUUAACACAUGCAAGUCGAACGAUGAACCGGCUUCGGUCGGGGAUUGGUGGCGAACGGGUGAGUAACACGUGGGUAAUCUGCCCCGCACUUCGGGACAAGCCCUGGAAACGGGGUCUAAUACCGGAUACGACCAUCUGAGGCAUCUCAUGGUGGUGGAAAGCUCCGGCGGUGUGGGAUGAGCCCGCGGCCUAUCAGCUUGUUGGUGAGGUAGUGGCUCACCAAGGCGACGACGGGUAGCCGGCCUGAGAGGGCGACCGGUCACACUGGGACUGAGACACGGCCCAGACUCCUACGGGAGGCAGCAGUGGGGAAUAUUGCACAAUGGGCGCAAGCCUGAUGCAGCGACGCCGCGUGGGGGAUGACGGCCUUCGGGUUGUAAACCUCUUUCAGCACGGAAGAAGCCGUAAGGUGACGGUACGUGCAGAAGAAGCGCCGGCUAACUACGUGCCAGCCGCCGCCGUAACAC
rnacentral:rRNA from 1 species